AACCCCGCUCGCCGGUGGUGCGCCGUGUCCCCAGGACGUUCUAUUGGAUUCGCGAUUCGGCGUGACCCUGCACUCCAGUUCGCUAUUUUUCACUCAUUCCGGUCGGUUCCUCGCGUCCGAGGAAGGGGAUAAAUCAUCACCGCUGAGCAACCUCGCCGGAGCAGCGGGCAGCUUCGAGAAGGUAAGGGUGGGGCAUAAGAGGCAGACGCUGGUGGCGAUGGCCUCCUCGUCGACCGCGGCGGUGGAGUCGGCCGCUUCAGGUCGCUGGAGACGGGGGUGCGAGCGUGGAUGGAGAAGCUGCCCACCCACAUCGAGGUCACGGUGUUCGGGGCCGUGCAGGGUGGCGCGCUCGGCGGGCUGAUGCGCACGUUCACGCCGGAAAUAUCGGCAGACGGCUCUCCGUGCCGUAGGCGCCGCCCAGGCUCGACUCCAUGGCCCUGCCAUCCUUGGAGCAAGUGCAGGUUCCCUCCUCCUCAUGUAUAGUUCCCCUCUUGUUACAGAUUUUCACGGGGACUAUCAAUUUUUGUAAUUCCUGUGAUACUUUUGUCAAAGAUUGCAAAUGCUUUUGAGUUCAGUCCCAGUGACGAAUUUGUUCUCACAUAUACCGAUGAUGAUGCAAUUGAUUAUUUCUUGUUCCUUGUUCAUAGCUUGUUCAGCCAGUAGGUGCAAUCGAAUUAUUAUUUGUUAAUGUCCAAACUAAAAUCAGUAGUUAGUAUCUCAUUUAGAGAUGUAUUAUGUUUUCCUGACUGAUGCACCGUAUAAGCUGACUCUAAUUCAUGAAAUCUCCAUUGCAAGUUAUAGAGAAGCAGUAAAUUACUCUCAUCAGCUAGGCAUCAAGCAGAUUACAGCCCAUUGCAAGUUAUGGAGAAGCAGUAAGUUACUCUCAUCAGCUAGGCAUCGAGCAAAUUCAGUCCAUUGCAAGGUUUGCAGCUGGGAGAAUCCCAGAGAUUUAGAGUACCGCUUCAACAAGUUUCCGCUGAUUCAGCUGUAGUACCAAACUUUUUUGAUGGAUUCUGUUGGUUAAAUGUAUUAUGGAGAGCUUCCGCCUCCCUGUGGUGAUUCAGCUGGAUUUCCGUUAAACGGUUGAGGAAAGGCUCGUCGAGUCUCCAAUGGUUUUCUUUUCCAAGCGCCAGAUGCUCGCCGAUAUGGGUCGUGUGGAAGAAAAUUGUCCAAGCGCCCGACAAUUGAUUAAAUCUGUGCAGCAGAGCAGAAGGGAUGUGGGUCACGGCAUUGUGCUAGUGUUGCACUGCAGAAGAGGAGAUAACUUAACUCGAUGCAUAUCUGUCAUGAGGAGAUUUGCUUCAAUUGGAUUCCGACCAAGGUCAGAGUUCAUCAGGUCACCAUGGAGGGAUCAAAAAACUGAGUGUUCAGGAGGUACCAGUUGGUCAACAAUAAUGAACCCCAAUUCAUGCACAUUCUAUUAUUGGUCCUUGUUCUCCAAGAUCCGCAAAGCAUGCACAAGAGGAUUCCGUCAAAAUCGAGGAGCGGGGAGCCUUCCUUCUGUAGCGCCGUAAGGACUUGCAACGCCGAGGGCAUGAUUCCUGAGUUGUUCUCACGCAUCUCCGUGAUGGUAUCCAUCAGUUUGUGUUGGUCCUGGUGGCACCAUGUGUUGUACCUCUUGGGCCUCUUGGACCUCUUGGUGGAGGUGUCGUUGGUGUCGCCAUCCUCAGGUGACUCACCGGGGUUGGUGUCGCCAUCCUCAGGUGAGUCACCGGGGUUGGUGUCGCCAUCCUCAGGUGAGUCGCCGGACAGGGGCGAAGCUGGACCAAAAGAUCAUUGGGUUCAGCUCUACUAGUUAUGUGAUAAUCAUCUACUAAUGAGACAAGUUAAACAGCAAACUAGUGAAGGUUUCAUGAAAUUCGUUGGGUUCAACUAUACCAGCUCCGCCACUGUCGCCGGAGAUCAUCUCGCCAGCCUCGUCAUCAGAGAGAACGACGAUUUGGUCGUCAGGUUCGACCAUUAUCACGUCGCCCUCAUCAUCGGAGAGAUCGAUGACUUGUCGGGAUUGGUCGUCCUCGUCGUCAGAGAUGAGAAUCAGAUUGUCAGAGAAGCUACGAGGAUUAAAGAGUGGGAUUGUGGGAGCCAUAGGUACGGCAAAUGGUGGUGGUACAGCACGGCAAUUGGUGGUGGUAGAGCACGGCAAAUGGUGGUGGUACAGCACAGCAAAUGGUGGUGGUAGAGCACGGCAAAUGGUGGUGGUACAGCACAGCAAAUGGUGGUCUCGGGCCUCUUCUAUUUAUAUGCUAUAGGAGGCGCUGGAGCAGUUUAGCGCUGCUAAUUGGAUUGGCGGGAAGGAUAGAUCAAGGUUGGCGCCAAACCGUGAAAACUUGAAUCGACUGGACCAAAUCCUGCAUUAAUACAAAUUUUCAGCUCGCCCGAUACAAUCGGUUAAACUGAAUUCUAUACCAUAAGUAUCCUUUUCACAAAUUACAUGUGUGUUCAUAAAAAAAAACGAUUCCAUGUACAUAUCAAUUCGCCUGAUUGGUUUCCAUCAAUUUUCAUUGGGCAAGA